CCUACGGGGGGCAGCAGUGAGGAAUAUUGGUCAAUGGUCGGGAGACUGAACCAGCCAAGCCGCGUGAGGGAUGAAGGUACAGAGUAUCGUAAACCUCUUUUGUCAGGGAACAAAGGCGGGGACGUGUCCCCGGCUGAGUGUACCUGAAGAAAAAGCAUCGGCUAACUCCGUGCCAGCAGCCGCGGUAAUACGGAGUAUGCGAGCGUUAUCCGGAUUUAUUGGGUUUAAGGGGUGCGCAGGCGGUCUGUUAAGUCAGCGGUCAAAGCCCGGGGCUCAACCCCGGCCCGCCGUUGAAACUGGCAGUCUCGAGUUGGAGAGAAGUAGGCGGAAUGCGCGGUGUAGCGGUGAAAUGCAUAGAUAUCGCGCAGAACUCCGAUUGCGAAGGCAGCAUGCCGGCUCCACGCUGACGCUGAGGCACGAAAGCGUGGGUAUCGAACAGGAUUAGAUACCCCUGUAGUC
rnacentral:rRNA from 1 species